UACGGAGGGUGUAAACGUUGUUCGGAAUCAUUGGGCGUAAAGCGUACGCAGGCUGCGUGUCAGGUCGGGUGUGAAAGCCCGGGGCUCAACCCCGGAAUUGCGCUCGAAACCGGCACGCUAGAAUCCAGCAGAGGAAGGUAGAAUUCCUGGUGUAGGGGUGAAAUCCGUAGAUAUCAGGGGGAAUACCAAGGGCGAAGGCAGCCUUCUGGGCUUGGAUUGACGCUGAGGUGCGAAAGCGCGGGUAGCAAACAGG
rnacentral:rRNA from 1 species